ACAUGCAGAGAGCAGGAGAGGAGCCUAGCUGAAAUCGUGAAGUGCAGGGCCGUCCACUCCAGACUAUAAGCAACAUCAUAAAGUGCUCCGAUCCUCCUCCAUGACGCUGACACCGGUGUUCUGAGUGAUGACAUCAGAUUGGUCUGUUGGACGGGGGUAUUUAGGAGGAGAAACAAAACAAACCUCAAAACCUUAAAACUGAAAUGCAAUUAUGAAAGUAAUUCUCUUUCAAGGUGAAUCAUGGAAUUAUUUUGUCUAUAAUAUCAUGGCUGCUUUCAUUCAAGGCUACAAAAGGGCUGGAUGGGUGUGACUUACAAGCUAGCCCUUGUAUAACUGUUACCCUCUGUAGCUGAGAGAGCACAACCCCCAGCUCCUUUGACAGAAGCCAGCUCGAGGCUGCGGAUGAGGAGAGUCAGGUCCUUCUGGCCCUAAUUCCCCACUUGCAACACUACCACACUUGCAAAUUUUCUGAAGACUAAAUCAGUAGCUUUGCAGGGGUUAGAGGUGAUUCAGGCCAACGUUUUUCUUCAAACAAGCCAGACAACAAGUAUGACAAUAAUGUGCUUAUACAUUGUAUUUAGAGAAAGAUAAAUUUGGAAAAAUAGAGGGUGCAAUGUAGGCCACACUGGUGUUUUUUUAACCAUUUACAACUUUUUUUUUUCUUCAAAAAUCCACUCAGAAAUUGUAAUAAAAAAAAAAAAAAUGAGUGUAUUCAUUGAAGAACAUGUUUUUAAACUUAUCUAAAACACUUUUAUAAAAUAAAUCAAAACUUUUUUUAU